ACUAACUUGUCGAUAUCGCUUCUCAAAUCAUAUCCCAACUUUUUCUAAUCUAGAAAAAAAAUUAAUUGGUAAAAGACAUUUUUAAAAAAAUUUAAAGUCGGGCUAGAGCUCAUUUAUUAAAAAACAACAAAAAACAGUCAAUUUGUACAUCAAAGGUCAAACCCAAAAGUGACCUGGCCCAAACCCGAAACAAAGAGAAAAAAUCAGACAAAGACUAGGUAGACACUUUGGUCAUUUAGGAAAGUUUCUUUCACAGCCUCUUCAUCUCUUUGCCUUCUCUUUUUGUUUCCACUGCUAUUGACUUGAUCAGAACCACAAACAGAAGGCAUGAGAUGCAAGUUAAAAUUCAGAAAUUGUCGCCUUGACUUGAUUCCUUAUUUUAACUUCAAAGGUUCUUGGCAUAAGUUUCAUUCUUUACUGUACAUCAUUUCAACCCUCAGUGCCCGCAAAGCUGCUUCCUUGGUGUUCUGUUAUUUUCCCUGGAGGUGAUCAUUCCGACCAUGCUAACUAGUCGCAAUUCCCUAACAAAGUAGCAGCUAUUAUCAUUGAUUUCACAGUCUCUUUGCACUAUUCAAUGUUGCCGAUUGUUGCUUCUACUCAGCUCAAUGCAAUCCUAUCAAUCAAAAUUAUUUGGCAUAUUCUUUCUUCAAGGAUCAUUCCACCAAGAAGAUCUUAAACUCUAACCUCAACUGGUUGAAGUCUUGCGAAAGACUAGGUUAUUACUGGCAACUGAAAUAGAUUGAAAUGGAUUGUGCGUUGGUAAUGGGAGAGAAGGCAAUCGACUUUGGAGUUCUAGUACUUCAUGUACUUCUCAGCUAUUGCAAUCUUUUUGCUGCAGCUCCACCGUUUUAUGAGUUCCAACCCAAAAACUCAACUUUUUCCAUCCAUAUUCGGCCUCUCGACACUACUAAGACAUAUAGAAGAUGUGAUUCUUUUAAUAUGGGCUUGGAGUUUUGAUUGAAUACCCACAAGAAUAUAGAGGGAAGGUUGUAAAAUGCAUAAUCUUGAAGGUGUUAGUCCUAUUAAUCAACAUGAGACACACUUGCAAAACACGUACACUAAAUUAGUAUAGUCGAAUUGUGUAAAAUAAUUUUUACAUUUUAUUAGUAAUACAUAUAACAUACAAUGGCCUAACUUAGUAUAGUAGAAUUGUGUAAGGAGCUUAUUCCAUGGCAUUAAUUGUUGAUGGGAACAAUUGUCGUUAAGUUUACUGUAAUUGAAUUUCAA